GGAGGGAAGAGAGGGUGACUUAGCGGCGGACGGGUGAGUAACGCGUGGGCAACCUGCCUUACACAGGGGGAUAACAAUUAGAAAUGAUUGCUAAUACCGCAUAAGACCCCAGUACCGCAUGGUACAGGGGUAAAAACUGAGGUGGUGUAAGAUGGGCCCGCGUCUGAUUAGGUAGUUGGUGGGGUAGAAGCCUACCAAGCCGACGAUCAGUAGCCGACCUGAGAGGGCGUCCGGCCACAUUGGGACUGAGACACGGCCCAAACUCCUACGGGAGGCAGCAGUGGGGAAUAUUGCACAAUGGGGGAAACCCUGAUGCAGCGACGCCGCGUGAGUGAGGAAGUAUUUCGGUAUGUAAAGCUCUAUCAGCAGGGAAGAAAAUGACGGUACCUGACUAAGAAGCCCCGGCUAACUACGUGCCAGCAGCCGCGGUAAUACGUAGGGGGCAAGCGUUAUCCGGAUUUACUGGGUGUAAAGGGAGCGUAGACGGAAUUGCAAGUCUGAUGUGAAAAUCCGGGGCCCAACCCCGGAACUGCAUUGGAAACUGUAUUUCUAGAGUGUCGGAGAGGCAAGUGGAAUUCCUGGUGUAGCGGUGAAAUGCGUAG
rnacentral:rRNA from 1 species